ACCCUGCUGUAGUGGCAGUAUCAUAGCCAAUGAGGUUAAUCCGAGGCGUGAUUAUUGCUAGUUGAAAACUUUACCCUGCUAAU
rnacentral:snRNA from 1 species